GUAGGAGGCGAGCGUUAUCCGGAUUUACUGGGUGUAAAGCGCGUGCAGGCGGUGGGAUAAGUUGGAUGUGAAAGCUCCUGGCUCAACUGGGAGAGGUCGUUCAAGACUGUCCGACUGGAGAGCAGUAGGGGAAGGUGGAAUUCCGGGUGUAGUGGUGAAAUGCGUAGAUAUCCGGAGGAACACCAGUGGCGAAAGCGGCCUUCUGGACUGCAUCUGACGCUCAGACGCGAAAGCUAGGGGAGCAAACGGGAUUAGAGACCCCGGUAGUCCUAGCCGUAAACGAUGUGAACUUGGCGCUGGUUGGGUCAAACCAAUCAGUGCCGCAGCCAACGCGAUAAGUUCACCACCUGGGGACUACGGCCGCAAGGUUAAA
rnacentral:rRNA from 1 species